rnacentral:sRNA from 1 species
CUUAAAAAAUCUGGAUCCUCCUGAAUAUUGAAACACUAAACAAAAAAAGUAGUUCAUAAGGCACUCACAUUUGCGCAAUGCGAAGAUUUAUCCUAUGAAAAAUCUGCUG